UACGUAGGGUGCGAGCGUUGUCCGGAAUUACUGGGCGUAAAGAGCUCGUAGGUGGUUUGUCGCGUUGUUCGUGAAAACUCACAGCUUAACUGUGGGCGUGCGGGCGAUACGGGCAGACUGGAGUACUGCAGGGGAGACUGGAAUUCCCGGUGUAGCGGUGAAAUGUGUAGAGAUCGGGAGGAACACCGGUGGCGAAGGCGGGUCUCUGGGCAUCUCCUGACGCUGAGGCGCGAAAGCGUGGGGAGCAAACGGG
rnacentral:rRNA from 1 species